rnacentral:rRNA from 1 species
UCAGGCCUAACACAUGCAAGUCGAGCGGACAGAAGGGAGCUUGCUCCCGGAUGUUAGCGGCGGACGGGUGAGUAACACGUGGGUAACCUGCCUGUAAGACUGGGAUAACUCCGGGAAACCGGAGCUAAUACCGGAUAGUUCCUUGACCGCAUGGUUCAAGGAUGAAAGACGGUUUCGGCUGUCACUUACAGAUGGACACGCGGCGCAUUAGCUAGUUGGUGGGGUAAUGGCUCACCAAGGCGACGAUGCGUAGCCGACCUGAGAGGGUGAUCGGCCACACUGGGACUGAGACACGGCCCAGACUCCUACGGGAGGCAGCAGUAGGGAAUCUUCCGCAAUGGACGAAAGUCUGACGGAGCAACGCCGCGUGAGUGAUGAAGGUUUUCGGAUCGUAAAGCUCUGUUGUUAGGGAAGAACAAGUGCGAGAGUAACUGCUCGCACCUUGACGGUACCUAACCAGAAAGCCACGGCUAACUACGUGCCAGCAGCCGCGGUAAUACGUAGGUGGCAAGCGUUGUCCGGAAUUAUUGGGCGUAAAGGGCUCGCAGGCGGUUUUUUAAGUCUGAUGUGAAAGCCCCCGGCUCAACCGGGGAGGGUCAUUGGAAACUGGGAAACUUGAGUGCAGAAGAGGAGAGUGGAAUUCCACGUGU